rnacentral:lncRNA from 1 species
UGCAAAGGGGAUACGAGUGGAGAUGACGUGUUAAGGCUGUGUGUGUGUGUGUGUGUGUGUGUGUGUGUGUGUGUGUAUGUGUGUGUGUGUUGUUUUGUUCUUAUUGAACAUGACUUGUGCAUACUAUGGAAUCAGUAGAAAAGAUCUGAAAGAGCUGGAGAUAGAGACAGGAGAGUGAAGGGAUGAUAGACAGUUCUAUGUUCCUACCAAAGACUCUUGGCCAAGAUGCAAGGCAGGAAUGAGAGCCUCACCUUUGAUGGGAGGAACAGCAACCCCUGCUACAACAAGAGGCAAGGAGAGGAAAAAGUGAGCCUUUCAGUUGGUGUCGGGAAGAAGAGGCAACCAUUGGCUUAAACACUUUGAUUUCUCUGAAUCUUAGCAGAAAAAUCAGCCAGGCUUGAUGGUGGG